ensembl:lincRNA
UCGCUUCCCCUCCAAAAACUAGAAGCAAAGUCCUUGGUUUCUGAGCUUAAGCAGACCCUCCCCAGAGCAUCAUCAUCAGGCAGGAAGAUUUAGCCCCGUUCCCCUCCACUUCCCUCAGACCCUCCCUGAGACUGACUGCCCUUCUGUGUUUCACUUCCUGUCCUAGUCAGUCUUAAAUGCUCCCCUGUGCAGCUGUUCCACAGCUGCUGGCCCUCCGGUCACCCCCCACCCCCAUCACUUCCCUGUUGAAGGGGGCUCAGGGAGAGUUGAAAGGUGCUACAUCAAUGCACGACAUUUCCUCUCCUGUCCCCUCAGCUGUGCAGCUCAGCUGUGUGUCCUCUGGCACCUACAAAAUCAAACACCUGCCAUCCAGAUGUUUGCACCUACAGGCUGGAGAAGCUGGCUACAGCAAGUCCUUUAGAAUGGAGACAGGUAUUUACUGGAGGGCAAGAUUUAAUGAAAUUCUUGGCCCGAAAAGACUUGGGGGUGGAAAGGGUAAAGGAUCUCUCUGGCAUCUUCUGCAAGAGGCUAAUCUUAUUCACAAGGGCUCCACCCUCAUCACUCUGAUCACCUCCCAAAGGCCCUACUACCAUCACCGUAAGUAUUAGGUUUCCAGCAUAAGAGUUUUGGGGGACCCCAACAUUCACACCAUGGUAAGUGGGAAUGUCCUUUAUUCUUGUAAUAAAAUUCUUGUAUUUGCAACAAAAUCUGUGUCUUAGUCCUAGCUCGCAGGGUGGUUAAAAAGUUCACUAUUGUGUCCUCUAUUCCUUACCCUUUUUGGUUGUAUUCUUUGGUUAGCAGUCUUUCAGAAGACACCCACUGGACAGACCUGCAUGACCAAUUUAAGUUCAACUUCCCAGGGACCAGAUGUGGCCAGAGGGCCUAGUCCCAGCUCCCAGAGUUUCAAUAUCCAAUACUUCAUCACUGAACAACCAUGUGAGAGCCCUAUCAGAGGUUCACUUGGGAUGUAGCCUUUGGGUAAGGGCACAGGGUUGUGCCCUCCUAGAACUUGUCAUUCCCUAGCCUCUCCGAUAUGAAAAAUACGAUUGCAAUCCUCUCUGAAACUGAGCCUCUGUCUUCCCCUGGAUAGUGGCCUUCAUCUCCUUCUCCUCUUGGACAAACUGUCUGGAAAUGUCUCUGUUGACCAUAACACUGACUAACCUAACUGAGUUCUUGAGCCAUUCAAGAUCCUAAAAACAUUGGCACAGAGGAAUUUUUUUUUUUUCCAAAAAAUUUGAAGUGUGAACCAUAAUGUACGUCAUCCUCUGUGGUCACUGAGCUCCAGAUGCGGGUUGCAAAGUUUUGUGUUCCUCAAAUGAACCUCAUUAUUUUUGUUGAUUGGCUUGAUACUAAAUAAGUAUUAAAAAUCUGAAUUUACCUUAGAAUUGGUCUUCUGUUUUAAAUUCAUAGAAUUUUAUUAGGAUAAAUCCCAAACAUUAUUUGGGAGCCGCUGGAAAAGGUUCAUCUCCAGCGGCUCUCCAGACAUCUCCAAGCUCAGGGGCUAAGGAUUCUAAGCAGCUGUGCAUAUGCUGACUCACAAACAACUGAAAGACCCCCAUCCCUUCUCAGCACUGACCUGUCUUCCCUCAG